UCCAAAAACUAAAUAAAUAAUUAUAUGGUAGUGCUACUGGCUCACAUUUCUAGCACUGCCAUGAAUGAGACUUCUUCUGAGUCCCACUCUCACUUGUGUUUUCUCCUGAGUGGUGCUGGCCUUGGUUGAAGUUGUGAUUCUUUAUAACUAAUCAAUAAACAGCUUGUUCGAGAUGGAAUCUCUCCUGCUUCACUUGAAUCUAGACACAGAAGGAGGAAGGUGCAUUGGCUCUGCUGGCACAGCGGUGGCUUACCUCCGGCCAACUCCACCUCUGAAAUCUCUUUAACCCUUUGAGAAGGAGAUGGACAGUCCCUGGUUUUGUGAGGUUGGUUUACGUGAGCUGUUGUUAUCCACACAGCCGCAGACAGGCACUAGAGAGGAAGCCUCAAAUGUCUGGGCGGAAAGCUGAGCCUUAUCUGUGACCACAUCAACUCCCACGAUUACUCUUGCUUUCACUUACAGCUUACAGCCUAAUCCUGCAGGGCGAAACCAUUCACUUUCUCCUGUAAACUCCUGUGUACAGCAACAGCCGCUUGCAGUUUAGCCAAGAGUCUAAGAUCUUUUUACCCUUGCUGCGACUUCCAAAAGAAUUUUUUAUUUCCUCAGGUCCUUCUGGCCUGAGGCAGUAGUGAAGACUGGAUCCCCAGACUGGAUCCCCAGGCAGCAGCACCCUGAGCUCACAAACCAGCCCUGACCCUUAAGGAUUUGAACACUUGAGAACCGUGAUGCCAACGCUGCCGCGAGGGACAGAGGAGAGUCGGGGUUGAACCCCAAGCCGAGCUGAGGGCCCGCACUCCUCUAAUUUCCUGGACCUACCCCCACUUGAAGAAAUGAGUGGUGGAUUGGCUUCAAGUAAGAGCACAGUAUAUGUAUCCAACUUGCCCUUUUCCCUGACAAACAAUGACUUAUACAGGAUAUUUUCCAAGUACGGCAAAGUUGUAAAGGUUACUAUAAUGAAAGAUAAAGAUACGAGGAAGAGUAAAGGAGUUGCAUUUAUUUUAUUUUUGGAUAAAGACUCUGCACAAAACUGUACGAGGGCAAUAAACAACACACAGUUAUUUGGUCGAAAGAUGAAAGCAAGCAUUGCUAUUGACAAUGGAAGAGCCGCUGAGUUCAUCCAAAGGCGAAACUACUUUGAUAAAUCUAAGUGUUACGAAUGUGGGGAAAGUGGACAUUUAAGUUAUGCCUGUCCUAAAAAUAUGCUUGGAGAACGUGAACCUCCAAAGAAGAAAGAAAAAAAGAAAAAAAAGAAAAUUCCUGAACCAGAGAAAGAGAUUGCAGAAGUAGGAGAAAGUGAAGAUGAAGAGGAAGAUCCCGCUCUGGACAGCCUCAGUCAGGCCAUCGCAUCCCUGCAAGCCAAAAUUGAAGAAGAACAAAGAAAAUGGAAACCCAGUUCUGGGGUCCCCUCAACAUCAGAUGAUUCAGGACGCCCAAGGAUAAAGAAAAGCAACUACUUCAGUGAUGAGGAAGAACUGAGUGAUUAAAAUGUUAUUUUUUAUGUAAAUAUAA